UACGUAGGGUCCAAGCGUUGUCCGGAUUUAUUGGGUUUAAAGGGUGCGUAGGCGGCCCUGUAAGUCAGUGGUGAAAUACUCCAGCUUAACUGGAGGGGUGCCAUUGAUACUGCAGGGCUUGAGUUAAGUUGAAGUUGGCGGAAUUGACGGUGUAGCGGUGAAAUGCUUAGAUAUCGUCAAGAACACCGAUAGUGAAGACAGCUAACUAAACUUUUACUGACGCUGAGGCACGAAAGUGUGGGGAUCAAACAGG
rnacentral:rRNA from 1 species